UACGUAGGGUCCGAGCGUUGUCCGGAAUUACUGGGCGUAAAGAGCUCGUAGGUGGUUUGUCGCGUUGUUCGUGAAAACUCACAGCUCAACUGUGGGCGUGCGGGCGAUACGGGCAGACUGGAGUACUGCAGGGGAGACUGGAAUUCCUGGUGUAGCGGUGAAAUGCGCAGAUAUCAGGAGGAACACCGGUGGCGAAGGCGGUUCUCUGGGCAUGUCCUGACGCUGAGGAGCGAAAGUGUGGGGAGCGAACAGG
rnacentral:rRNA from 1 species